GACGAACGCUGGCGGCGUGCUUAACACAUGCAAGUCGAACGGAAAGGCCCUGCUUUUGUGGGGUGCUCGAGUGGCGAACGGGUGAGUAACACGUGAGUAACCUGCCCUUGACUUUGGGAUAACUUCAGGAAACUGGGGCUAAUACCGGAUAGGAGCUCCUGCUGCAUGGUGGGGGUUGGAAAGUUUCGGCGGUUGGGGAUGGACUCGCGGCUUAUCAGCUUGUUGGUGGGGUAGUGGCUUACCAAGGCUUUGACGGGUAGCCGGCCUGAGAGGGUGAACGGCCACAUUGGGACUGAGAUACGGCCCAGACUCCUACGGGAGGCAGCAGUGGGGAAUAUUGCACAAUGGGCGGAAGCCUGAUGCAGCGACGCCGCGUGCGGGAUGACGGCCUUCGGGUUGUAAACCGCUUUCGGCUGUGACGAAGCGUGAGUGACGGUAAUGGGUAAAGAAGCACCGGCUAACUACGUG
rnacentral:rRNA from 1 species